rnacentral:rRNA from 1 species
GACGAACGCUGGCGGCGUGCUUAAUACAUGCAAGUCAACUGAACUUGAGAUAGCAAUAUUUUAAGGGAGGUGGCGCACGGGUGAGUAACACGUAGGUAAUCUGCCUUUAGGACUGACAUAACCCAGAGAAAUCUGGGCUAAUAUCAGAUGAUGCAGCGGCUCGACAUCGAGACAGUUGUUAAAACCUUCGGGGCCUAGAGAUGAGCCUGCGUCUGAUUAGGUAGUUGGCGGAGUAAAAGCCCACCAAGCCUGCGAUCAGUAGCUGGUCUGAGAGGAUGAUCAGCCACACUGGAACUGAGACACGGCCCAGACUCCUACGGGAGGCAGCAGUGGGGAAUAUUGGACAAUGGGGGCAACCCUGAUCCAGCAAUGCCGCGUGUGUGAAGAAGGCCUCGGUGUAAGCACUUUAUCGUACGAACGUAGCGGGUGGAUAGCUCGUAACUAGACGGUACGGACGGAAGUAA